rnacentral:rRNA from 1 species
AACGAACGUUUGUGGCGUGGAUUAGGCAUGCAAGUCGCGCGAAUCCCCCGCGAGGGGGGGAAGCGGCGUAAGGGGCAGUAAGGCGUGGGUACCUACCCCGGGGUCGGGAAUAGCCCGUCGAGAGACGGGGUAAUGUCCGACGACGUCUCCCUGACGGGAAGACCAAAGCUCCGGCGCCCCGGGAGGGGCCCACGUGGUAUUAGCUAGUCGGUGGGGUGACGGCCCACCGAGGCGGGGAUGCCUAGCGGGUGUGAGAGCACGACCCGCGCCACUGGCACUGAGACACUGGCCAGACGCCUACGGGCGGCUGCAGUCGAGGAUCUUCGGCAAUGGGGGCAACCCUGACCGAGCGACGCCGCGUGCGCGACGAAGGCCUUCGGGUUGUAAAGCGCUGUCGGGGGGGAGGAAAGCCCGAAAGGGUGUGACCCAUCCCCGGAGGAAGCUCGGGCUAAGUUCGUGCCAGCAGCCGCGGUAAGACGAACCGAGCGAACGUUGUUCGGAAUCACUGGGCGUAAAGGGCGCGUAGGCGGCCCGCCGCGUCCGGGGUGAAAGCCCCCCGCUCAACGGGGGAACGGCCUCGGGUACGGGCGGGCUGGAGGCGGGGAGGGGCGUGCGGAACACCGGGUGGAGCGGUGAAAUGCGUUGAGAUCCGGUGGAACUCCGGUGGCGAAAGCGGCACGCUGGGCCCCGGCCUGACGCUGAGGCGCGAAAGCCAGGGGAGCGAACGGGAUUAGAUACCCCGGUAGUCCUGGCCCUAAACGGUGGGGACUGGGUAGCCGGCCUGGCAUGGGCGGGCUGCCGGAGCGAACGUGUUAAGUCCCCCGCCUGGGGAGUAUGGUCGCAAGGCUGAAACUCAAAGGAAUUGACGGGGGCUCACACAAGCGGUGGAGCAUGUGGCUUAAUUCGAGGCUACGCGAAGAACCUUAUCCCAGGCUUGACAUGUGCGAAAGCGCUGAGAAGUAGCCCGCGGAAACGUGGGGCGAACGGUAUCCAGCCCGGAACUCAGCACAGGUGCUGCAUGGCUGUCGUCAGCUCGUGUCGUGAGAUGUCGGGUUAAGUCCCAUAACGAGCGAAACCCCUGCCCCCAGUUGCCGCCCCGCGAGGGGGGGACUCUGGGGGGACUGCCGGUGUCAAACCGGGGGAAGGUGGGGAUGACGUCAAGUCCUCAUGGCCUUUAUGCCUGGGGCUGCACACGUGCUAUAAUGGUGCGGACAGAGGGACGCGAGGCCGCGAGGCGGAGCCGACCCCAAAAAGCGCACCCCAGUUCGGAUCGCGGGUUGCAACCCGCCCGCGUGAAGCCGGAAUCGCUAGUAAUCGCGGGUCAGCAACACCGCGGUGAAUGUGUUCCUGAGCCU